rnacentral:rRNA from 1 species
GACGAACGCUGGCGGCGUGCUUAACACACGCAAGUCGAGCGGAAAGGCCCUUUCGGGGGUACUCGAGCGGCGAACGGGUGAGUAACACGUGAGUAAUCUGCCCUUGGCUUUGGGAUAGCCACCGGAAACGGUGAUUAAUACCGGAUACGACAACUCCACGCAUGUGGUGGUUGUGGAAAGUUUUUUCGGCCAGGGAUGUGCUCGCGGCCUAUCAGCUUGUUGGUGGGGUAAUGGCCUACCAAGGCUUCGACGGGUAGCCGGCCUGAGAGGGUGAGCGGCCACACGGGGACUGCGGCACGGCCCAGACUCCUACGGGAGGCAGCAGUGGGGAAUAUUGGACAAUGGGCGGAAGCCUGAUCCAGCAACGCCGCGUGAGGGAUGACGGCCUUCGGGUUGUAAACCUCUUUCAGUACCGACGAAGCGAGAGUGACGGUAGGUACAGAAGAAGCACCGGCCAACUACGUGCCAGCCGCCGCCGUAAGAC